rnacentral:rRNA from 1 species
GACGAACGCUGGCGGCGUGCUUAACACAUGCAAGUCGACGACGCUACUGAGUAGCAUUAUUUAGUAGUGGAGUGGCGCAAGGGUGAGUAAUGUAUACGUAACCAACCCAUCGGAGACGGAUAACAUUUCGAAAGGGAUGCUAAAACGGCAUGAAGCCACGAUUUCGCAUGAGAUUGUGGUUAAAGAACCGGUAACAGGUUGCUGAUGGCUGGGCGUAUAUCCGAUUAGCUAGUUGGUAGUGUAAUGGACUACCAAGGCGACGUUCGGUAGCUGGUCUGAGAGGAUGCUCAGCCACACUGGAACUGAGAUACGGGCCAGACUCGUACGGGAGGCAGCGGUGGGGAAUAUUAGGCAAUGACCGCAAGGGGGACCCAGCAACGCCGCGUGGAAGAUGAAGGCCGUAAGGUUGUAAACUCUGACAAGCAGGGAAGAACGGCUAUGGUAAAAGGCCAUAGAAUGACGGGACCUGCCUGAAGCCCCGGCUAACUACGUG